rnacentral:rRNA from 1 species
UACAGAGGGUGCGAGCGUUGUUCGGAAUUAUUGGGCGUAAAGCGGGUGUAGGUGGCUUGGUAAGUCGGGUGUGAAAGCCCAGGGCUCAACCCUGGAAGUGCAUUCGAUACUGCUUAGCUUGAGUGCGAGAGAGGUUAAUAGAAUACCUGGUGUAGUGGUGAAAUACGUAGAUAUCAGGUGGAACACCGGAGGCGAAGGCGGUUAACUGGCUCGACACUGACACUGAGACCCGAAAGUGCGGGGAUCAAACAGG